CCCCUAGAUGUUCUGGGCCGCACGCGCGCUACACUGAACAGUUCAACAAGUCUUAACCUUGGCCGAUAGGUCUGGGUAAUCUUUGAACGCUGUUCGUGAUUGGGAUAGACCUUUGCAAUUAUGGGUCUUCAACGAGGAAUUCCUAGUAAACGCAAGUCAUCAGCUUGCAUUGAUUACGUCCCUGCCCUUUGUACACACCGCCCGUCGCACCUACCGAUUGAAUGGUCCGGUGAAAUCUCGGGACGGCGGCUUGGUCGCUUGCGUCCGACUGCUGAAACUUGAUUUAACCAUAUCAUUUAGAGGAAGGUGAAGUCGUAACA
rnacentral:rRNA from 1 species